rnacentral:rRNA from 1 species
UAGGGAAUCUUCGUCAAUGGACGAAAGCCUGACCGAGCAACGCCGCGUGAGUGAAGAAGGUUUUCGGAUCGUAAAACUCUUUUGUUAGAGAAGAACAAGGACGUUAGUAACUGAACGUCCCCUGACGGUAUCUAACCAGAAAGCCACGGCUAAUUACGUGCCAGCAGCCGCGGUAAUACGUAGGUGGCAAGCGUUGUCCGGAUUUCUUGGGCGUAAAGCUAGCGCAGGCGGUUUCUUAAGUCUGAUGUGAAAGCCCCCGGCUCAACCGGGGAGGGUCAUUGGAAACUGGGAGACUUGAGUGCGGAAGGGGAGAGUGGAAUUCCAUGUGUAGCGGUGGAAUGGGUAGAUAGAUAGGGGAACACCAGUGGCGAAGGCCGCACUCUGGUCUAUAACUGACGCUGAAGCUCGAAAGCGUGGGGAGCAAACAGG